GGGGCUGUAGUGUAACUUGGUAUCACUCUACCUUGGGGUGGUAGCAAUCCGUGUUCAAAUCAUGGCAGCCCCA
rnacentral:tRNA from 1 species